AGUUUUUCAGAUACACUUGAGAAGGUACAUGGUCUAAUAGGAAGAGGAUUUCCAAGUGAUUUUUGGCAGGAAAUGGCAAUUUUUCAGCCAUUAAGAUUUUUUCAGAUCUUACAUGAAAAUGCUAAUUACUGUUCCAAAAGGCUGGACAUGUGUAAAUGGCUUUGUACAAGCUCCUUGAAGAGAUUCAGAGAGAGAAAACGGAACGGAUUCGAAAGGCAGAAGAAAAUUUCCACUUUGGAAGCGAGAUAAACUUCACUUCAGAAUGCUAGAGAUAGUAACAAAGAGACAAAAAGGCUUGAGAAGUUAUCAGCGUGGAAAAGGAUAAAUUUGAAGAAUAUUUUAUUUCUUCACUCUCGUGUAAGACUUGACGUCUUAUUUAAUAUACCUUAUGAUACUGUCACCAAGCCUCUGAAACUUGCACUGACUUUGAUACUUUAUUUAUUUAGUAGUAUCUUAAUAUUUGAAA